rnacentral:rRNA from 1 species
AUACCUGGGGGGCAAGCGUUGUCCGGAUUCAUUGGGCGUAAAGGGCUCGUAGGUGGGCUGACCGGUCAAAAUUGAAAUACAAUGGCUUAACCAUUGGCACGGUUUUGAUACUAUCAGUCUUGAGUGAAAUAGAGGUAAGCGGAAUUCCUAGUGUAGCGGUGAAAUGCGUAGAUAUUAGGAGGAACACCAAAGGCGAAGGCAGCUUACUGGAUUUAUACUGACACUGAGGAGCGAAAGCGUGGGUAGCGAACAGGAUUAGAGACCCUGGUAGUCCACGCCGUAAACGAUGAGCACUUGGUGGUGGGGGAUUCGACCCUUUCACUGCCGAAGUUAACGCAUUAAGUGCUCCGCCUGGGGACUACGAUCGCAAGAUUGAAACUCAAAGGAAUUGACGGGACCCGCACAAGCGGUGGAUUAUGUGGUUUAAUUCGAUGCAACGCGAAGAACCUUACCUAGGCUUGACAUGUUAGUGAAAGCUUUGU